AUACUUUACCUGGCAGGGGAGAUACCAUGAUCACAAAGAUGGUUUUCCCAGGGCGAGGCUUAUCCCGAUGUGCUGACCCCUGUGAUUUCCCCAAAUGCGGGGAAACUCAACUGCAUAAUUUGUGGGAGUGGGGGACUGUGUUUGCGCUCUCCCCUG